GAGGGUGAUGCCUGCCCAAUGGUUGUAUCUAAAAGCGGUUGAUAAAAGUCGACCUCGUAAGGACAAUUGAAUGGCCGCGGUAACACUGACCGUGAUAAUGUAGCGUAAUCAAUAGCCAAUUAAUUGUUGGCCAGUAUGAAUGGCGCCACGAAGGCCCCACUGUCUUAAGGAAAUUCCCAGUGAAAUUGAAUUCGUAGUGAAGAUGCUACGUGCAAUUUGUUAGACGAAAAGACCCCGUUGAGCUUUACUGGAGCACUUACAUGGCCCUGGCCUUCCCAUGCUUGGGAAUCGGCCGAAUUUAAAUGGGCGGCUUAGAUUAUGUGGCAGCCCCCCGCUGGGGCAAAUGAAACCCCACUCCCCCAUGUCAAAGGGGCUAACCCCCCCCCUUGGGGGGACAGUGUAAGUAGGACAGUUUGGUUGGGGCGACCGCCUUUUAAAGAGUAACGAAGGUGCGCUUAAGGUGCGCAAUUAAUGACUGAAGCCUGACUGCGAGGGGGACACCCCGAGCAGACACCCCAAAGCCCGCCCGAAGGGCGGCGGUGGGGUGG
rnacentral:rRNA from 2 species